CGUGGUCGUCGUCGUCUGGCGUCGUCCGGCGUCGUCCGAAGACACAUUGGUUUUCGCACUCUAACUUUAGUUUAAGUGAAUGGAUCUCCAUGAAAUUUUACCAUAAGGUUCAAUACCACGAAAGGAAGGUGGGGGAUUGAUUUUGGGGGUUAUGGUACCAACAGUUAAGGAAUUAGGGGUCAAAAAGGGUCCAAAAAUAAGCAUUUUUGUAACUUCCAGACAAUAACUUGUGUGUAAGUGUAUGGAUCUCUCUGACAUUGUACCACAAGGUUCCAUAUCACAAAGGGAAGGCUGUAAUUGAUUUUGGGGGUAAUUGCCUAAACAUUUUAGGAAUUAGGGGCCAAAAAAGGGCAAAAAACAAGCAUUUUUCUAGUUUCAUGACAAUAACUUGUGUGUAAGUGUUUGGAUAUUUCUGAAAUUGUACUACAAGGUUCCAUAUCACAAAGGGAAAGCUGGAAUUGAGUUUGGGGGUAAUUGCCCGAAACGUUUAGGAAUUGGGGGCCAAAAAGGGGCCAAAAAUAAGCAUUUUUCUAGUUUCCAGACAAUAACUUGUGUUCAAGUGUAUGGAUCUCUCUGAAAUUGUACUGCAAGGUACCAUACCACAAAGGGAAGGCUGGGAUUGAGUUUGGGGGUGAUGAAUCAUAAGGGGGUUCAAAAAAUUUGGGGGGGGGGAUUUUUUUUUUUUCUUUUUUUUUCUUUUUUUCCUUUUUUUUUUCUUUUCAAAUUUUCCAUUUUAAGUUGGUUAUUUCUGAUUAAUAUUUAAAAGCAAAUAAUAAUGAUAUGGUAGGAGAUACACACCAAACAGGAUGUGUAAAUUAUUAUAUAAUAAGUAUUGUGCAAUAGCAAGAAAUUUUCAAUUGCACAGUAUUGCACAAUUGCAAGAAAUCUUCAAUUGCACAGUAUUGCGCAAUAGCAAGAAAUCUUCAAUUGCACAGUAUUGUGCAAUAGCAAGAAAUAUCCAAUAGCACAAUAUUGCGCAAUAGCAAGAAAUUGUCAAUUGUACAGUAUUGCACCAUAGCAAGAAAUAUUCAAUUGCACAGUAUUGUGCAAAAGAAGAUACUUCGUAUAAAUUGCUUAUUUCUUGAUCAAUUUCAAUGGGGUUUUAUUCUUGAAUUCUUGGGGUUCUUUAAUAUGCUGAAUCUAACCGUGUAUUAAGUUUUUGGAUUUUGGGCCCCGUUUUUAAAUUGGUCCACAUUGAGGUCAAAAGGGUCCAAAAUUUAACUUUGUUUGAUUUCAUCAAAAAUUGAAUUAUUGGGGUUCUUUGAUAUGCCGAAUCUAACCGUGUAUUUAGAUUCUUAAUUUUUGGUUCCGUUUUCAAAUUGGUCUACAUUAAGGUCAAAAGGGUCCAAAAUUAAACUUAGUUUGAUUUUAACAAAAAUUGAAUUUAUAGGGUACUUUGAUAUGCUGAAUCUAAACAUGUAUUUAGAUUUUUGAUUAUGGGCCCAGUUUUCAAGUUGGUCCAAAUCGGGGUCCAAAAUUAAACUUUGUUUGAUUUCAACAAAAAUUGAAUAUAUGGAGUUCUUUGAUAUGCUGAAUCUAACCAUGUAUUUAGAUUUUUGAUUUUUGGGCCCCGUUAUCAACUUUGUCCACAUUGAGGUCAAAAGGGUCCAAAAUUAAAGUUUGUUUGAUUUCAUCAAAAAUUGAAUUCUUGGGGUUCUUUGAUAUGCUGAAUCUAACCAUGUAUUUAGAUUUUUUAUUUGUGGACCCGCUAUCAAAUUGGUUCAUAUUGAGGUCAAAAGGGUCCAAAAUUGAACUUUGUUUGAUUUCAUCAAAAAUUGAAUUAUUGGGGUUCUUUGAUAUGCCAAAUCUAACCGUGUAUUUAGAUUUUUAAUUUUGGGUCCCGUUUUUAAGUUGGUCUACAUUAAGGUCCAAAGGGUCCAAAAUUAAACUUAGUUUGAUUUUAACAAAAAUUGAAUUCUUGGGGUUCUUUGAUAUGCUGAAUCUAAACAUGUGUUUAGAUUUUUGAUUAUGGGCCCAGUUUUCAAGUUUGUCCAAGUUGGGGUCCAAAAUUAAACUUUGUUUGAUUUCAACAAAAAUUGAAUAUAUGGGGUUCUUUGAUAUGCUGAAUCUAAACAUGUAUUUAGAUUUUAGAUUUUUGGCCCAGUUUUCAUGUUGGUCCAAAUUGGGGUCCAAAAUUAAACUUUGUUUGAUUUCAACAAAAAUUGAAUAUAUGGGGUUCUUUGAUAUGCUGAAUCUUACCAUGUAUUUAGAUUUUUUAUUUGUGGGCCCGCUAUCAAAUUGGUUCAUAUUGAGGUCAAAAGGGUCCAAAAUUAAACUUUGUUUGAUUUCAUCAAAAAUUGAAUUAUUGGGGUUCUUUGAUAUGCCAAAUCUAACCGAGUUUUUAGAUUUUUAAUUUUGGGUCCCGUUUUUUAAAUUGGUCUACAUUAAGGUCCAAAGGGUCCAAAAUUAAACUUAGUUUGAUUUUAACAAAAAUUGAAUUCUUGGGGUACUUUGAUAUGCUGAAUCUAAACAUGUGUUUAGAUUUUUGAUUAUGGGACCAGUUUUCAAGUUUGUCCAAGUUGGGGUCCAAAUUUAAACUUUGUUUGAUUUCAACAAAAAUUGAAUAUAUGGGGUUCUUUGAUAUGCUGAAUCUAACCAUGUAUUUUGAUUUAGGACAUUGGACCAUAAUAGGUAAAUUAAAAAAAUUCAAGUUCUUAGACCACAUUCUUUCUGUGUCAGAAACCUAUGCUGUGUCAAAUAUUUAAUCACAAUCCAAAUUCAGAGCUGUAUCAAGCUUGAAUGUUGUGUCCAUACUUGCCCCAACUGUUCAGGGUUCGACCUCUGCGGUCGUAUCAAGCUGCGCCCAGCGAAGCAUUUUAUUAA